rnacentral:rRNA from 2 species
AACACGUGGGUAACCUGCCCUUAAGUGGGGGAUAACAUUUGGAAACAGAUGCUAAUACCGCAUAGAUCCAAGAACCGCAUGGUUCUUGGCUGAAAGAUGGCGUAAGCUAUCGCUUUUGGAUGGACCCGCGGCGUAUUAGCUAGUUGGUGAGGUAAUGGCUCACCAAGGCGAUGAUACGUAGCCGAACUGAGAGGUUGAUCGGCCACAUUGGGACUGAGACACGGCCCAAACUCCUACGGGAGGCAGCAGUAGGGAAUCUUCCACAAUGGACGCAAGUCUGAUGGAGCAACGCCGCGUGAGUGAAGAAGGCUUUCGGGUCGUAAAACUCUGUUGUUGGAGAAGAAUGGUCGGCAGAGUAACUGUUGUCGGCGUGACGGUAUCCAACCAGAAAGCCACGGCUAACUACGUGCCAGCAGCCGCGGUAAUACGUAGGUGGCAAGCGUUAUCCGGAUUUAUUGGGCGUAAAGCGAGCGCAGGCGGUUUUUUAAGUCUGAUGUGAAAGCCCUCGGCUUAACCGAGGAAGCGCAUCGGAAACUGGGAAACUUGAGUGC